ACCCCUGCUCGCGCCCCGCGUCGUUCCC
rnacentral:sRNA from 1 species